rnacentral:tRNA from 1 species
GCGGAACCAGCAACUGAUCCAGUAUCACAAUAUUACUAGCGUCGUGGCGCAGUGGAAGCGCGCAGGGCUCAU